CGGCCCAAGUGUUUCUAUUUCUUAACCAGCUUUCAUGCAAUCUUUUUUUAUUUUACCAUCUCUGUGAUCCCACUCCCAAAGGUACUAGAUGUCGAUUGGUCCUUAGGAUCAGCUACCAUUUGCCCAACUGCUUUCCAGCCUUCCAAAAAUUUUUUUCUUUUUUUCUUAAAGAUACUCCUGUGUGAGGCUCAGAACUCUUGAAUUGCUACUGCAAAUAUGAACUCGGUGAUGUGAAUGCCAGGGAAUUGCCUGAUUGAUCAAAGAAAUGUAUCCCCUUCUCCCUCACUCUUGCUGUCUUCUCAUUUGUUUUCCCCAUCCUUGUGGAUUCGUGAAUUUAAAUAUCCCUUUAAUGUUAUAAUAUUUUAAUGGCGUUUGGCGAAAAGUACAGAAUUAGGUGCAAGAGUGCAUAGCUGUUAUUUUUUUUUUUGGCCUCUGAGACUGUUCAUAUAUGCAAGUUAUUUAACAGAAAGUUCUGCAGUGACCUGAGAUGUCAGGGGGGUCUGAUAGAGUACGUUUGAAGGCAGUUACUGGAAAAAAAUAAUGCCAUUUCUGGUUUGUACUUCGGUAAGUUCAGAUGACCCAAUAUAUUGUUUACAUGUGGCAUUCAGUAAAAAAGUAGCUUCCCCUCCCUUUCUUCUUCCUUUUCUCCUUUCCUGCUUCUAUAAAGCAUCUGCUUUGGGAAACUUCUUAGGAGGAGAGCUUGCCAGCCCGUGGGUAAUGGAGAGGUCUUGCAGAGAUAAAAGAGAUGCUCCCACUCAAUGCAGGAUGGUGUGGAGGUAAAUGGGGAUAUGUCUGGCAUCACUCAGGAAUGGGCCUUCCUGGCAGGGAAGAGAAGGGAGGGGAAAGAGGAAGGGAGUCAAAGAUGAAUUGCUGAAUACGGGGAUUCCAGGGCCUGGAGCCAGGAAGAGAACUUUGGGAGGUGUGAACCUGGAGGGCAUCAGCUGAUGAGGAGCAGCCUGAAGUCCGGGGAGGACCUGUUUUUGGUGGCCAGGAAGAAAGUGCCUUCCACACACAGGGAGGCCACAAGGCUGAUGGGCUGGGGGUUGGAAGGACAGCCCUAGGACAGGCUUGGGAAGCAGGCUCAGGUAGGGACUGUGAGGUUCUUGUUGAGUCUUUUUCAUUCCUGGUCUUAGAAAAUAGAAUCCAAGGCCUCUUGAGAGUGGAAGGUGGGUUGGGAGGAGGGCAGAUGGGGCUUAGGCCCAGGACACCCGUAGAGCUACUGCCCAGCUGUCUCUCAGGGACUCUGCUGAGGUCACUCCAAGGAUCAUUCUUAGCCUUGCUAGACAGUACUGACAGAGGGAACCGUAGUAUCGCACCCACUUCCUUCUCUUUCAAUGAAAGUUUAAAGGUCACCAUUUCCUCUGGCAAAGGAAGUUCCACAAAUAUUCCAUUUCCGGUCUUAGAAACAGCAAGGUAUCAAGCAAUUGCAAACUUCCUGUGCUGGGGAAUUCCCAAGGAAGUAGGGGCAGAGUUCUGGUGGAGACAAAGUGAAUUCCGAGUGAUUAGUCAGUAGCAGUAGCAGUAGCAGUAGCAGUAGCAGUAGCAGUAGCAGUAGCAGCAGCAGAACCAGAAUUUCCCCGCACGUGUCUCAGGCUCUCAUUU
rnacentral:lncRNA from 1 species